AACUAGAGAUUGUGAUGAACAUUUGGCAAAAAAUCUCAUUAAUUUUGGAUCACAAAUGAUGGACUUAUGGAUUUUGUAAGUUAGGCAUGGCAAAUGAAAUAAACAUUACAAAAAAAUAUGAUUAAAAACUAGAGAUUGUGAUGAACAUUUGGCAAAAAAUCUCAUUAAUUUUGGAUCACAAAUGAUGGACUUAUGGAUUUUGUAAGUUAGGCAUGGCA
rnacentral:lncRNA from 1 species